GACAGAGGUGCCAAGCGUUAGGCGGAAUCACUGGGCUUAAAGCGUGUGUAGGCGGGCGAUCAAGUACCUUGUGAAAUCCCACGGCUCAACCGUGGAACUGCUGGGUAUACUGGUUGUCUUGAGCCAGCUAGGGGCGAGCGGAACAGACGGUGGAGCGGUGAAAUGCGUAGAGAUCCGGAAGAACACCGGUGGCGAAGGCGGUCUGCUGGGCAGUUGCUGACACUGAGGCGCGACAGCGUGGGGAGCAAACAGG
rnacentral:rRNA from 1 species